rnacentral:rRNA from 2 species
UACGUAGGGUGCGAGCGUUAAUCGGAAUUACUGGGCGUAAAGCGUGCGUAGACGGUUAUUUAAGUCAGGUGUGAAAGCCCCGGGCUCAACCUGGGAAUUGCAUUUGAGACUGAAUAGCUAGGGUGCGGAAGAGGGAAGCGGAAUUUCCGGUGUAGCGGUGAAAUGCGUAGAUAUCGGAAGGAACACCAGUGGCGAAAGCGGCUUCCUGGUCCAGCACCGACGUUCAGGCACGAAAGCGUGGGGAGCAAACAGG